rnacentral:rRNA from 1 species
UAAGCGGAGGAAAAGAAACCAACAGGGAUUGCCCUAGUAACGGCGAGUGAAGCGGCAACAGUUCAAAUUUGAAAGCUAGCCUUCGGGUUCGCAUUGUAAUUUGUAGAGGAUGCUUUGGGUAAAACGCCAGUCUAAGUUCCUUGGAACAGGACGUCAUAGAGGGUGAGAAUCCCGUAUGUGACUGGAAAUGUUAACCUAUGUAAAGCUCCUUCGACGAGUCGAGUUGUUUGGGAAUGCAGCUCUAAAUGGGAGGUAAAUUUCUUCUAAAGCUAAAUAUUGGCGAGAGACCGAUAGCGCACAAGUAGAGUGAUCGAAAGAUGAAAAGCACUUUGGAAAGAGAGUUAAAAAGCACGUGAAAUUGUUGAAAGGGAAGCGCUUGCAAUCAGACUUGUUUAAACUGUUCGGCCGGUCUUCUGACCGGUUUACUCAGUUUGGACAGGCCAGCAUCAGUUUCGGCGGCCGGAUAAAGGCUCUGGGAAUGUGGCCUCCACUUCGGUGGAGGUGUUAUAGCCCAGUGUGUAAUACGGCCAGCCGGGACUGAGGUCCGCGCUUCGGCUAGGAUGCUGGCGUAAUGGUUGUAAGCGAC